rfam:Drosophila mojavensis strain TSC#15081-1352.22 Ctg01_11179, whole genome shotgun sequence.
CCAACGGCCCUUUUCAGGGCCACCAAAGCACUACUCAAAGAGUUU